rnacentral:pre_miRNA from 1 species
AAAAAGAUAAAACCUAGGUUUCCGUGUCCAACGUUUGACUGUCCGUCUUAUAUGAAAUUUUUUUAUAAUUAGUAUUUUUAUUAUUGUUAAAUGAUAAAACAUGAUCAAUACUUUAUGUAUGACUUGUCUUUUUAAUUUUUUUAUAAUUUUUUUAAAUAAGACGAACGGUUAAACGUUGGA